CCAGUCGCUGGUGUACGGGGCUGACGCCGCCGUCUGGCGGGCGGCGCGGGCGGACGCGGCGGUGGCGACCCUGCGGCGGCG
rnacentral:tRNA from 1 species